GUCCCACUGUAAGGAUAGAGGUGCUGGGGGGUAUUUAUCCACUGAGUCGUGUGUGUCAUCAGCUAAGGGCUGUUGCCAGGGGCGUUGACUCCCCAGUACUCCUAGGCUGCUCUGCGCCUGCAUCAAGUGAGCUCCUGGAGGAGGAGAAAGCCCCCACCUCAUCUGUGGAAGGGAUGCGGCCAGGCGCUUAUGGUAUCUGCAAUGAGGCAUCGGUCCUGCUUGGGCCUGCUGGGUUAGGGUAAAACAGUGCUCUGAGCCACCAGACCACAAGUGAAGACUUUAUUUUUCAAGCACUUUACAUGAGUGUCACCACCACCACCUCUGAGCAAAUAUAUAAAAAGCAUAACCUAUGGUACAAUAAUUCCAAUUUCUCAACUAAUGCACUGUACAGACAUUUCCGGGGCCGUGGCAUCCACAACUCCCGCCCCGCCAGCCCCAGCACCACGGAUGCGGUUCAGGCACAGCAGCUGCACUUGUCCGAGCCUCCUUUGCAGAUGCAGCCCUGGGCACACUUGGCACAGCCCGGGGGGCAGCAAGGACAGCAGCCUGAAAGGGCCAGGAGAUGGACAGAUACAGAUUCCUCCUGGAAGAGAGGACAGAUCCAUAAGUGUGAGGACUGAAGUAAGUCAGGGACAUGAGAUGUGCUGCAGACCGUCACGGUGGCAGGGUUUCUGAGCUCUCCUUGGGGAGUGGCUGAACAAAAGGAUGAAGAUGCUGCUGAAAAUCACGCCAAGGGCAAAGGUUUUUUUGAUGGUUCCCAGGCCCCGGAUGGAAACUGGGGUGGUGGCAUGCGGCCCUCAGCCGGGAUACUUGCUAGAAUACAGAUUUGUGGGACCAACCCUUGAUAUAUUCUGAUUCGUAGGUCUGGGUGGAGAAAGGGAAUCAUAUUUUUAAAAGCAACCCAGAGAAGGAUGCCUGGGUGGCUCGGUGGUUGAGCAUCUGCUUUUGGCUCAGGUCAUGAUCCUGGGGUCAUGGGAUCAAGUGCCGCAUAGGUCUCCCCACGGGGAGCCUGCUUCUCCCUCUGCCUAUAUAUCUCUGUCUCUCUCUGUGUGUCUGUCAUGAAUAAAUAAAUAAAUAAAUAAAAUCUUAAAAAAAAC
rnacentral:lncRNA from 1 species